rnacentral:sRNA from 1 species
CAUUUGCGUAAGGGAUUGAAGUGGAAAACCUUUUUGAGCUUUUUUGGCGAAGAAAGUUUGGAGCGGAAAGCCCGACCCGCC